rnacentral:rRNA from 1 species
GAUGAACGCUGGCGGCGUGCCUAAUACAUGCGAGUCGAGCGAACAGACGAGGAGCUUGCUCCUCUGACGUUAGCGGCGGACGGGUGAGUAACACGUGGAUAACCUACCUAUAAGACUGGGAUAACUUCGGGAAACCGGAGCUAAUACCGGAUAAUAUAUUGAACCGCAUGGUUCAAUAGUGAAAGACGGUUUUGCUGUCACUUAUAGAUGGAUCCGCGCCGCAUUAGCUAGUUGGUAAGGUAACGGCUUGCCAAGGCAACGAUGCGUAGCCGACCUGAGAGGGUGAUCGGCCACACUGGAACUGAGACACGGUCCAGACUCCUACGGGAGGCAGCAGUAGGGAAUCUUCCGCAAUGGGCGAAAGCCUGACGGAGCAACGCCGCGUGAGUGAUGAAGGUCUUCGGAUCGUAAAACUCUGUUAUUAGGGAAGAACAAAUGUGUAAGUAACUAUGCACGUCUUGACGGUACCUAAUCAGAAAGCCACGGCUAACUACGUG